rnacentral:rRNA from 1 species
CUGGAGGUAUCAGAAGUGCGAAUGCUGACAUAAGUAACGAUAAAGCGGGUGAAAAGCCCGCUCGCCGGAAGACCAAGGGUUCCUGUCCAACGUUAAUCGGGGCAGGGUGAGUCGACCCCUAAGGCGAGGCCGAAAGGCGUAGUCGAUGGGAAACAGGUUAAUAUUCCUGUACUUGGUGUUACUGCGAAGGGGGGACGGAGAAGGCUAUGUUGGCCGGGCGACGGUUGUCCCGGUUUAAGCGUGUAGGCUGGUUUUCCAGGCAAAUCCGGAAAAUCAAGGCUGAGGCGUGAUGACGAGGCACUACGGUGCUGAAGCAACAAAUGCCCUGCUUCCAGGAAAAGCCUCUAAGCAUCAGGUAACAUCAAAUCGUACCCCAAACCGACACAGGUGGUCAGGUAGAGAAUACCAAGGCGCUUGAGAGAACUCGGGUGAAGGAACUAGGCAAAAUGGUGCCGUAACUUCGGGAGAAGGCACGCUGAUAUGUAGGUGAAGUCCCUCGCGGAUGGAGCUGAAAUCAGUCGAAGAUACCAGCUGGCUGCAACUGUUUAUUAAAAACACAGCACUGUGCAAACACGAAAGUGGACGUAUACGGUGUGACGCCUGCCCGGUGCCGGAAGGUUAAUUGAUGGGGUCAGCGCAAGCGAAGCUCUUGAUCGAAGCCCCGGUAAACGGCGGCCGUAACUAUAACGGUCCUAAGGUAGCGAAAUUCCUUGUCGGGUAAGUUCCGACCUGCACGAAUGGCGUAAUGAUGGCCAGGCUGUCUCCACCCGAGACUCAGUGAAAUUGAACUCGCUGUGAAGAUGCAGUGUACCCGCGGCAAGACGGAAAGACCCCGUGAACCUUUACUAUAGCUUGACACUGAACAUUGAGCCUUGAUGUGUAGGAUAGGUGGGAGGCUUUGAAGUGUGGACGCCAGUCUGCAUGGAGCCGGCCUUGAAAUACCACCCUUUAAUGUUUGAUGUUCUAACGUUGACCCGUGAUCCGGGUUGCGGACAGUGUCUGGUGGGUAGUUUGACUGGGGCGGUCUCCUCCUAAAGAGUAACGGAGGAGCACGAAGGUUGGCUAAUCCUGGUCGGACAUCAGGAGGUUAGUGCAAUGGCAUAAGCCAGCUUGACUGCGAGCGUGACGGCGCGAGCAGGUGCGAAAGCAGGUCAUAGUGAUCCGGUGGUUCUGAAUGGAAGGGCCAUCGCUCAACGGAUAAAAGGUACUCCGGGGAUAACAGGCUGAUACCGCCCAAGAGUUCAUAUCGACGGCG